GCCCGUAUGGUCUAGUGGUAUGACGUUCGCCUCACAUUUGUAUUUCUACCAUCUGAAAAAAUAGGGUGGAUAAAAUGUUCUCCCGCGACAGGUCCCAGGUUCAAGCCCUGGUGUGGGCA